CAUCGGAACGUACCCCGUAGUGGGGGAUAACUCGGCGAAAGCCGUGCUAAUACCGCAUAUGCUCUACGGAGGAAAGCAGGGGACCUGAGAGGGCCUUGUGCUAUGGGAGCGGCCGAUGUCCGAUUAGCUAGUUGGUGGGGUAAUGGCCUACCAAGGCGACGAUCGGUAGCUGGUCUGAGAGGAUGAUCAGCCACACUGGGACUGAGACACGGCCCAGACUCCUACGGGAGGCAGCAGUGGGGAAUUUUGGACAAUGGGGGCAACCCUGAUCCAGCCAUGCCGCGUGCGGGAAGAAGGCCUUCGGGUUGUAAACCGCUUUUGGUCGGGAAGAAAAGGCACGGGCGAAUAGUCCGUGUUCUUGACGGUACUGACAGAAUAAGCACCGGCUAACUACGUGCCAGCAGCCGCGGUAAUACGUAGGGUGCGAGCGUUAAUCGGAAUUACUGGGCGUAAAGCGUGCGCAGGCGGUUCGUUGUGUCCGAUGUGAAAGCCCCGAGCUUAACUUGGGAAUGGCAUUGGAAACUGGCGGGCUGGAGUGUGGCAGAGGGGGGUGGAAUUCCACGUGUAGCAGUGAAAUGCGUAGAGAUGUGGAGGAACACCGAUGGC
rnacentral:rRNA from 1 species